AAUAAAUCAAAACUUUCAACAACGGAUCUCUUGGUUCUGGCAUCGAUGAAGAACGCAGCGAAAUGCGAUAAGUAAUGUGAAUUGCAGAAUUCAGUGAAUCAUCGAAUCUUUGAACGCACAUUGCGCCCGCCAGUAUUCUGGCGGGCAUGCCUGUUCGAGCGUCAUUUC
rnacentral:rRNA from 1 species